UUCCUUACAGGUUAAUAUUUUUGAACUAUAAGUAUGCUAGUUCAUUUAAUUUCUAUUGUUUGUGAGGGCUUAGUGUCAAAUCUAACUGCCUAACCUGUUGUUUCUAGUUUUGUGCACUCUCUGAUUUGUUUAUGUAGACUGGAUGGAUGCAUUUGCAUCUUAACUUUGUUUAGUAUCAAACAUAUGGUGUAGUUAGUUGCUCUUUUGUCACAAACUGAUAAUUAGACUGGAGUACAUCUGCUUUGCCAUGUAAUUAAUUAGUACAGUUGGUUUGUUUUGUUUGUGCUCAUUGUUUAUCUGUGGUACUGGUGAUUAAUUCUUUUUUGUUUUAAUGUGUUAACUGUUAACUGUAGUGCUGGUAGUUAUUUUAUGGGUUUUCUUUACUGAGUGGCUUAUUUGGCACUUACCAAUUAUAAUUGGCCUCAUUUCAAAUUAUAUAAAGCUACUUUGGAACUGAUGUGCUUAUUUUUAUUGCAGAGAAAAUAAGAAUUUGA
rnacentral:misc_RNA from 1 species